CUGAAAUCGCGAUUUAUUUGCUUCGAGGGUUGA
rnacentral:sRNA from 1 species